UUUUAGCCCUGAUGGCAACGGCAUCCUUUUUCUUCCGCUUUUUUCAGCGGAGAAAAAGAUAUAGUGAACAGCAGGAAAUAGC
rfam:Flavobacterium fryxellicola strain DSM 16209 FBFR11, whole genome shotgun sequence.